GCCUAAAGAAAAGCUCGCGGCUGAUUAGCUUGUUGGUAAGGUAAUGGCUUACCAAGGCGACGAUCAGUAUCUGGUUUGAGAGGACGAUCAGACACACUGGAACUGAGACACGGUCCAGACUCCUACGGGAGGCAGCAGUGGGGAAUUUUCCGCAAUGGGCGAAAGCCUGACGGAGCAAUACCGCGUGAGGGAAGACGGCCUAUGGGUUGUAAACCUCUUUUUUCAGGGAGGAACAAAAUGACGUGUACCUGAAGAAUAAGCAUCGGCUAACUCCGUGCCAGCAGCCGCGGUAAGACGGAGGAUGCAAGUGUUAUCCGGAAUCACUGGGCGUAAAGCGUCUGUAGGUGGUUUGUUAAGUCAACUGUUAAAUCUUGAGGCUCAACUUCAAAUCAGCAGUCGAAACUAUCAGACUAGAGUAUAGUAGGGGUAAAGGGAAUUUCCAGUGGAGCGGUGAAAUGCGUACAUAUUG
rnacentral:rRNA from 1 species